rnacentral:lncRNA from 1 species
CUCACGAAGCCAAAAUUAAGGCGUUGGCAGGUUACACUCCUUUCUGGAGGCUCUAGGAACGGAUCUACGUCCAGCUCAAUGGCAGAAUUCAGUUCCAUACAAUUGCAGGGCUAAGGCCCCCAUUUGCUUGCUGGCUGUCAUCUGGGGGUCUUUCUCAGUUUCUAGAGGCCUGCUGCAUUUCUUGGCUUGUAGGCCUGAUGUCGUCUGGAGCGGUCUCUCCUGGGAGAACCUCCUAGAGUCAGGGAGGAUUAAAUGAGAUGGUUCCCGUAAAGCACUUCCACGGGGCCUGAAAAGCAAGCGCUCAAUACAUGUGCGCCUUUCUUCCUGGAUUCUGGGCUCCAGAGGACAGGCCCCGUCUUAUUUACCUUGUUAGACGCCAAGGGCUGCCGGAACAGCAUCUGACACUCACUUCCUAGUGCCGUUUAAGUGAGUACCAGCCCCUGGUGUGAUAGUCUGUAGAUAAUAAGCUUUUCACUCGCUAUUGAUAGAGUUCCUACACUGCAUUAUUCAUUACUUCAUUUAUUCAGAAGAUAGUUUUGUUUAUCAUAUGCCUCCUUCAGUGGUCCGCAAUGACAGCAACUUUGUUUCAUUCCCUGUCUGCAUGUCUAAAACAGAGCUUGGGAUGAUGGCGGGCACCCAGUUCUUAUUGGUUAAGUAAAAUGAAUUGUAGGGAACCCAGGAAGAGGAGCAGGGAGCUUGGGAAGUGUUGGUAGACCUGCAGCCGAGGAAAGUGAGCUUGAGAGACCUUAUGGUGGUAAAUGUGAAUGAAGUGGAAUGCCUUCAGCUCCAGGUCGCCCAUACCCGAUUCAGCCUGACUUAAGGAAUAUGCCAGUGUAUCAACUUGCAAAGCAAGGAGCCCAGUGGCAGGGCAGAGUGGGUAUUUUCUCUGAUCCAACAAUGUCAUUAGGAACCUGAGAUGUUCCCGUCUCACUGCUCUACUCUCCCCACCACUGACUUCAUAUACAAACCCAGUUCCCCUCAUGCCACAAAAUGGCUGCUAUGGCUAUUGACUGCUCUUCCCAUUCCACAGGCAAGGGUAAGACUGAUUUCUCUUUCCCAGAAGUCCUAAACAAACAUCUCAUUGAAUCUCCUUGGUCUAAUCUGGUUUAGGCCUUUUUAUGCCAGACAAAUUAUUGCCGAGGGGGAUAGAAUUACCAUGACUAGAUGAGAUUACAUUUGUGGAGUGGGUUAAAUGUUGGAGAGAAUACCAUGUCUACCAAAGAGUGAGGUGACUCUGGGAAUAGAAAGAGUGAGAAGAGGCUGGGUGCAGUGGCUCAAGCCUGUAAUCCAGCACUUUGAGAGGCCAAGGCAGGUGGAUUACCUGAGCUCAGGCGUUUGCGACCAGCCUGGGCAACACGAUGAAACCACCAUCUCUACUAAAAUACAAGAAAUUAGCCAGGCGAGGUGGCAGGCGCCUGUAGUCCCAGCUACUUGGGAGGCUGAGGCAGGAGAAUUACUUGAACCCAGGAGGCGGAGGUUGCAGUGAGCCGAGAUCACGCCACUGCACUCCAGCCCGGGUGACAGAGCGAGACUCUGUCUCAAAAAAAGAAAGAAAGAAAGAAAGAAAAGAAAGAAAGAAAGAAAGAGAAGAAAACGGGUAAGGACGGCACUCUCAGGAACACCAGCAUUUCUGGGACAGGCAGAGGAAGGAGAGAGUCUAAGAAGGAAACAGAAAGAAUCAUUAACGAGGAACUAAGAGAACAGGGAAUGGGUGGUGAAGGUUUUGGAAAAAUAGUGGGAAGGUUUCCCCAGCUCCCAGUCAUCCCACUAUUUCUGGGAUGCCCUGAAACAAUUGUGUCCCCUGUUGGCCAUGCCUGGAGUCCUUGACACUGCCACCUGGCCUUGACAGUUUGACCCAGGGCUAGUACUCUGACCUAGUGGUCAAAAUUAGUCCAAUGAUAGCUUCCCAUCUUCCACUGGACCA